UACGUAGGGUGCAAGCGUUAAUCGGAAUUACUGGGCGUAAAGCGUGCGCAGGCGGUUUUUUUAAGCCAGAUGUGAAAUCCCCGAGCUUAACUUGGGAACUGCAUUUGGGACUGGAAGGCUAGAGUACGGCAGAGGGGGGCGGAAUUCCACGUGUAGCAGUGAAAUGCGUAGAGAUGUGGAGGAAUACCGAUGGCGAAGGCAGCCCCCUGGGCCAAUACUGACGCUCAUGCACGAAAGCGUGGGGAGCAAACAGG
rnacentral:rRNA from 1 species